rnacentral:rRNA from 1 species
UUAAGCGACUAAGCGUACACGGUGGAUGCCCUGGCAGUCAGAGGCGAUGAAGGACGUGCUAAUCUGCGAAAAGCGUCGGUAAGGUGAUAUGAACCGUUAUAACCGGCGAUGUCCGAAUGGGGAAACCCAGUGCAAUUCGUUGCACUAUCGUUAACUGAAUACAUAGGUUAACGAGGCGAACCGGGGGAACUGAAACAUCUAAGUACCCCGAGGAAAAGAAAUCAACCGAGAUUCCCCCAGUAGCGGCGAGCGAACGGGGAGCAGCCCAGAGUCUGAAUCAGCUUGUGUGUUAGUGGAACGGUCUGGAAAGUCCGACGGUACAGGGUGAUAGUCCCGUACACCAAAAUGCACAGGCUGUGAACUCGAAGAGUAGGGCGGGACACGUGGUAUCCUGUCUGAAUAUGGGGGGACCAUCCUCCAAGGCUAAAUACUCCUGACUGACCGAUAGUGAACCAGUACCGUGAGGGAAAGGCGAAAAGAACCCCGGCGAGGGGAGUGAAAAAGAACCUGAAACCGUGUACGUACAAGCAGUGGGAGCACCUUCGGGUGUGACUGCGUACCUUUUGUAUAAUGGGUCAGCGACUUAUAUUCUGUAGCAAGGUUAACCGUAUAGGGGAGCCGCAGGGAAACCGAGUCUUAACUGGGCGUUAAGUUGCAGGGUAUAGACCCGAAACCCGGUGAUCUAGCCAUGGGCAGGUUGAAGGUUGGGUAACACUAACUGGAGGACCGAACCGACUAAUGUUGAAAAAUUAGCGGAUGACUUGUGGCUGGGGGUGAAAGGCCAAUCAAACCGGGAGAUAGCUGGUUCUCCCCGAAAGCUAUUUAGGUAGCGCCUCGUGAAUUCAUCUUCGGGGGUAGAGCACUGUUUCGGCUAGGGGGUCAUCCCGACUUACCAACCCGAUGCAAACUACGAAUACCGAAGAAUGUUAUCACGGGAGACACACGGCGGGUGCUAACGUCCGUCGUGAAGAGGGAAACAACCCAGACCGCCAGCUAAGGUCCCAAAGUCAUGGUUAAGUGGGAAACGAUGUGGGAAGGCACAGACAGCCAGGAUGUUGGCUUAGAAGCAGCCAUCAUUUAAAGAAAGCGUAAUAGCUCACUGGUCGAGUCGGCCUGCGCGGAAGAUGUAACGGGGCUAAACCAUGCACCGAAGCUGCGGCAGCGACACUAUGUGUUGUUGGGUAGGGGAGCGUUCUGUAAGCCUGCGAAGGUGACCUGUGAGGGUUGCUGGAGGUAUCAGAAGUGCGAAUGCUGACAUAAGUAACGAUAAAGCGGGUGAAAAGCCCGCUCGCCGGAAGACCAAGGGUUCCUGUCCAACGUUAAUCGGGGCAGGGUGAGUCGACCCCUAAGGCGAGGCCGAAAGGCGUAGUCGAUGGGAAACAGGUUAAUAUUCCUGUACUUGGUGUUACUGCGAAGGGGGGACGGAGAAGGCUAUGUUAGCCGGGCGACGGUUGUCCCGGUUUAAGCAUGUAGGCUGGUUAUCCAGGCAAAUCCGGAUAAUCAAGGCUGAGGUGUGAUGACGAGGCACUACGGUGCUGAAGUAACAAAUGCCCUGCUUCCAGGAAAAGCCUCUAAGCAUCAGGUAACAUCAAAUCGUACCCCAAACCGACACAGGUGGUCAGGUAGAGAAUACCAAGGCGCUUGAGAGAACUCGGGUGAAGGAACUAGGCAAAAUGGUGCCGUAACUUCGGGAGAAGGCACGCUGGUGUGUAGGUGAAGCCCCUGCGGGUGGAGCUGAGACCAGUCGAAGAUACCAGCUGGCUGCAACUGUUUAUUAAAAACACAGCACUGUGCAAACACGAAAGUGGACGUAUACGGUGUGACGCCUGCCCGGUGCCGGAAGGUUAAUUGAUGGGGUUAUCCGUAAGGAGAAGCUCUUGAUCGAAGCCCCGGUAAACGGCGGCCGUAACUAUAACGGUCCUAAGGUAGCGAAAUUCCUUGUCGGGUAAGUUCCGACCUGCACGAAUGGCGUAAUGAUGGCCAGGCUGUCUCCACCCGAGACUCAGUGAAAUUGAACUCGCUGUGAAGAUGCAGUGUACCCGCGGCAAGACGGAAAGACCCCGUGAACCUUUACUAUAGCUUGACACUGAACAUUGAGCCUUGAUGUGUAGGAUAGGUGGGAGGCUUUGAAGCGUGGACGCCAGUCUGCGUGGAGCCAACCUUGAAAUACCACCCUUUAAUGUUUGAUGUUCUAACGUUGGCCCCUUAUCGGGGUUGCGGACAGUGUCUGGUGGGUAGUUUGACUGGGGCGGUCUCCUCCCAAAGCGUAACGGAGGAGCACGAAGGUUAGCUAAUCCUGGUCGGACAUCAGGAGGUUAGUGCAAUGGCAUAAGCUAGCUUGACUGCGAGCGUGACGGCGCGAGCAGGUGCGAAAGCAGGUCAUAGUGAUCCGGUGGUUCUGAAUGGAAGGGCCAUCGCUCAACGGAUAAAAGGUACUCCGGGGAUAACAGGCUGAUACCGCCCAAGAGUUCAUAUCGACGGCGGUGUUUGGCACCUCGAUGUCGGCUCAUCACAUCCUGGGGCUGAAGUAGGUCCCAAGGGUAUGGCUGUUCGCCAUUUAAAGUGGUACGCGAGCUGGGUUUAGAACGUCGUGAGACAGUUCGGUCCCUAUCUGCCGUGGGCGCUGGAGAAUUGAGGGGGGCUGCUCCUAGUACGAGAGGACCGGAGUGGACGCAUCACUGGUGUUCGGGUUGUCAUGCCAAUGGCACUGCCCGGUAGCUAAAUGCGGAAGAGAUAAGUGCUGAAAGCAUCUAAGCACGAAACUUGCCCCGAGAUGAGUUCUCCCUGAGACUUUAAGUCUCCUGAAGGAACGUUAAAGACGAUGACGUUGAUAGGCCGGGUGUGUAAGCGCAGCGAUGCGUUGAGCUAACCGGUACUAAUGAACCGUGAGGCUUAACCUU